AGGUCAUUUCGAAGAGGGCUUGUGAACCAGGAGUUCUUAAUGCUGUGAUCAAAGACUGAAGUUCUCUAUUGGUUGUAAUAGUCACUCAAAAGUGCUGUUUUCCUGAGAAGAUAUAAAA
ensembl:snoRNA